rnacentral:lncRNA from 10 species
UUCGUCUCAAAAAAAAAAGAAGCGUCUCCCCCCGUGGGGUCUGCCACAUAUACUCCAUUUAACAGUGCACAAAUGUGACCUAGGCAAGAUUUUGCAGUGUUUGUAGAACAGGGAAGGACUUGAAGGAGGAGAGCGAUGGAGGAAGGUGGCCCUCGGAAGUGACUGGAAAAGGUGUUCUGGUAGCAAAGGUGCCACUCUAUGUUAUGACUCCCCCAGCUACCAAAAACAAAGCAAACAAAAACAACAUCUGAAGCAGCUUCUGCAGGGUUGGCGAGGCUAUAAGACAAAGUACUCCCCAAAGAGGGUGCCUGUGAGAUGGGGAAGUAAAUUUAGCUAGAAGUUCCUCUGUCAGGUUUUUCUAAGAGACCUAGGAUGGAAACUGAAAGAAUCCAGACAUGUCUCUCUCUAGCUUUGGGGUAGCGUGUUUUCUAAGCUAAAGAAGAGUUGAUACCCUCCAGGUAGUCAAGAAAAUUAUUUUUCUUUCCCCUUUUCCCACCGUCCCUCUUCUUUCCCCUUUCCCCACCUUUCCCCACCAUCCCUCUUCUUUCGCCAACUUUCCUCCACCAUCCCUCUUCUGCUUUUUUUUUUUUUUUUUUUUUUUUUUUUUGAGAUGGAGUUUCACUCUUGUCAUCAAGGCUGGAGUGCAAUGUUGCAAUCUCGACUCACUGCAACCUCCACCUCCUGGGUUCAAGUGAUUCUCCUGCCUCAGCCUCCCAAGUAGCUGGGAUUACAGGCACCCGCCACCAUGCCCAGUUAAACUUUGUAUUUUUAGUAGAGAUGGGGUUUCACCAUGUUGGUCAGGCUUGUGUUGAACUCCUGACCUCAGGAGAUCCACCUGCCUCGGCCUUCCAGAGUGCUGGGAUUACAGGCAUGAGCCACCACGCCCGGCCUCCACUUUCUUUUUCCCCACCUAUUAAGAGAAAAAAGAAAAUUACACUUAAAUUUCCUGUUUUCUCUUGAAGUAGUCAAGGGUGUUUUUCAGCCAGCCUAGCCUUUGACUAAAUGUGCCGUACUCCCUGUUCUCUUACUACUUUUUCCACAUCCUGGCUAGGAGCAAGGUAUAAUUCAAAAGGGCCACAAAAGAAAAUGGGCUCAUGGAAAUGAAAAGAAUUAUACUCACUUUGCAUGGAAAGGAAAAUGGAGGAAAACGGAAUUGUAUUUAUUUCAAGUACAUGAAAGCUUUCACUCGAGGAUGAGAACAAUGUUUUAAGCCAGAACAAGAGGGGAGAGAUUUAAAAUGUAGCACUAGGAACUUUCUUUCACUUUAAGUAGGUUGUCUUCAGUGUCCCCAGGUAAACUUAGGAGCAUCUUCUCCACUGCUCCCAUUCCACAUUGAACCCAACUGCUGAAGAACAGUCAUCUUAUUUGAUUGCAUGUGUUUGUCUGCAAAGUCCACUACUACAGGAGACAGUAAGCAACUUGAGGAUGGCAUUUAACAUAAUGCCUACAUCAGAAAAAAACUGAGUAUUUAUAGGCUGAAUCAAUUUAAAGUGAGAUUCUUAAAUACCGAAAUGGGUUAUUUAACAUGUUCAUUUUUUGUAGUGGUGGAGGGAAGGAAACUUUAAAAAUGGGAUAGAUUCAGGACUUGAGUCAUUUCAUAAACACGUAAGAAUAACAAUCCUCAAAUGUAACUGAAGUAGUCAUUAGAGCUAUUGACAAUGUUCUGUACACAUUCUAGGCCAUGAAGCAGGAUCAUAUUGCCCCAUCUACUCCAAAGAGACUGGCUUUAAUCAACGAAAUAUGAUCAGCAUUAACUGGUCACAUCCAAGCAUUCAUGGCUCACCAAUCUCUCUUUUCCUGCCUCUGGCAUUGUUGAUGCCUGCUGUGGUUUGGAUGUGGUUUGUCUCUGCCAAAACUCACGAUGAAACUUAAUUGCCAAUGUAAUGUGGUUGGGAGUGGUGCCUUCCUUAGAUGAUUAGUUCGUUAAGCUAGAUUAAUGUCUCUCUUAGGACACUGGGUUAGUUCUUGAGUGAGUGGAUUUGUUCCCUUGAGAGUGGGUUGUUAUAAAGUGAGGUUGCCUCUCAUCUUCUGCCUCCUUGGCAAGCCUGCCUCCCCUUCUACUUCUCUGCCAUGUUAUAACGUGCAGCAUGAGACCUUCACCAGAAGCUGAGCAGAUGCUGAUGCCAUGGUUCUUGGACUUCCCAGUCUCCAGAAUCAUGAGCCAAAUAAACUUAUUUUCUUUAGAAAUUACCUAGUCUCUGGUAUUCUGCUACAGCAACACACAAUAGAGUAAGACAAAGAUGGAGUCAAGAUGGAGCUUCUGACAAAUCAGGUCUAGGAAUGACAAUGAUGAACCUAAGCCCAGUGCACCAUGUGAUGGGCCAUAUGAAUAAAUUAACAAGUUAGAACUAAACUCAUGUUAAUAUCUUUGGAAUGGUUGUUUGAUCAAACCUCACUUGCCUGAUACAAUAUCCCUGUAAACCCAAAUUUCUAUUUAAUUUCAAAACUAUAUAGUUUCAUCAAAAUGUGAUUACUGCUCUUUGACUAACAGGCUGUGAUCUUCCAUCCCUAAGACCUAUUUAUCUGCUUAGGUAAAACCUUGGAAAUCCUGGAGACAAAAAGUGUUGUGGUAAAGAAACAAACCACUUUAAAUAUGUUAAAGGUGCUUGCCUUUUCAAACCUAUUCAACUUUUCCCAAAGAGCUAUGCAUGCCCAUGCUCCAGAAUCACUAACAGCACAAGAAUUCUUGGAAGCACACACACACUGGCUGAAUUAUAUUUCUAUUUCCACAUUGCUGCUAUUUUCUUUUCUUUUCUUUUCUUUUCUUUUCUUUUUCAGACGGAGUUUCGCUCUUGUUGCCCAGGCUAGAGGGCAAUGGCGCGAUCUCGGCUCACCACAACAUCCUUUCCGCGUUCAAGCGAUUCUCCUGCCUCAGCCUGAUGAGUAGCUGGGAUUACAGGCAUGCGCCACCACGCCCGGCUAAUUUGGUAUUUUUAGUAGAAACGGGGUUUCUCCAUGUUGGUCAGGCCGGUCUUGAACUCCCAACCUCAGGUGAUCCACCCACCUCAGCCUCCCAAAGUGCUAGGAUUACAGGUUUGAGCCACCGCACCCAGCCUCCUGCUAUUUUCAAAGGAAAUCUGUUCCUCUCUUAGCAAUGGUAUAGGGAUAGAAGAUUGUCCAUAAAGCCCCAGUGUCACUGCCACACAUAAUCGGACAUAACAUGGUUGGCUCAUUAGCAUUUACAUGUCUCCAUUUCAACAUGACCACUUGACACUAAGUGUUUGUCCCGUUAGAAAUGUCAGAGAGUUGUCAGGUUUUGACUGAAUUUGGUAAAUGACUACUGUAUCUCUAGUGCCCCAAAUUGGCUCAGAAAGCCUUUCUUCUGUUAGGACUUACAUGUUGCUUUUCCUGUUUUGGGAUGCUGUGGCCAGAGCUGUAGCCAACAUAUACCUUAACUUUGUUUUGGACUUUUGUGCAUUCUAUUGAAACAAAAUGGCAAGUAAAAUAUUUUUAUAUGAGCAUAUUUCUGUCAUGUUUAAUGGAUUCUAAUAAAGUUAGGUACAUGGGUGAAUUGAUGAGAAAAUGGCUCCUCUUGCCAGCUCAAAAAAUGCAUAUUGCCAAUUUAAUUUCUACAUGGUAAAAUCAGCUACAUGAGGUUUGAAUAAGGUCCAGCACUUGGAGAACUUCAAUGAAUACUAAUAUAGCUUCCAGAUAGCCAAAAAACAUAAGUUUGAAAGACCUUUGCAAACAGUAAAGUGUUAUUUGAAAGGUGAGCUUUCCCAUUUGGGAGUCAGGUAUCAACAGGUCUUUUUCAACCCCAUUGAAAAAGAGUUGUUUCUAUACAUCAAGCUGUACAGAAAGGAAGCAGAAGGAUAUGUGAUUUAGUGAGGUUCUGCAAGUCAACUGCUACUGUGUGUGUGUGCGCACAUGCGUGUGUGUGUCUGUGUGUGUGUGUGUGUGUGUGUGUGUGCGUGCGCGCACGCAUGUAUGGUGUGUACCGCUAGGUCAGGAAUGAACUGGAGUUCUCUGAAGCCAGAGGUUCGCCAAGAAGCUUCCUAUGAUGUUUUGUUGGCCUAAAAGGGCAGAUCAGGUAAAAGUCCAUAGGAGGAAUCUAAAGCUCAAAUAUCAAGGCAGGGAGAUCAAGGAAGAACCAGGAUGUCAGAGACAGCUAAGGAGGAAAGCAGAAUGAAAUCCUACCAGGAACAGUCAAAGGGAAGCAUCCCAGGCGGCUGCUACUAAUGUCAGUGGGUACUUGCAGCUCCCCUUACAGAGCUAGCUUAUGUAUGUUAUAUUGGCCUGGUUGUACGAAAGCAGAAAAAAGUUAGGUUGGCUGGGCACACAUCCUGGUGAACAUGGUGAAACCCUGUCUCUACUAAAAAUGCAAAAACAAAAUUAGCCGGGCAUGGUGGCGGGCGCCUGUAUUCCCAGCUACUUGGGAGGCUGAGGCAGGAGAAUGGCAUGAACCCAGGAUGUGGAACUUGCAGCAACAGAGCAAGACUCCAUCUCAAAAAAAAAAAAAAAAAAAAAAAAAAAAAAAAAAAAAAAAGUUAGGUCUGCAUGGGCAAUGAAUUGAGAUUAUGCUUUGGAGUAUUUGGUAUACCUUUUCAGAACUUUUCAAAAGGGAAUAUGAGCAUAUGAAGAGCCAACAGGUUGGAAGAUAAUCCUUGCAUUCCCCUACCUAAGCAAUCACUAUGAUGAAAAAAUCAAAUCAUCUUAGAAAAACAUCAGUUCAAUGGAAUACAUGUGUACAGCGGAACAGAAUAAAAUGUUCAAGGGGAUUUUAAGUGUCCAUCUUUGUGAAGCUAUCUUGAGUCCAUCAUGAUAAAUUUACAGAAUUAAAGUUCUCUUCACUUCCCUAAGUCAAAGAAAGAAGGAGGUACCCAAAGCACUGAAAUGGUUCCUCCGCACCCGUGAAUUUAGCCAAGAUCUCUCAGCGGGCUAGUCCUAAGGGGACGUGCUGCUGCCCUCCGACAUGGGAAACAGGUUCACGACUCCACCCAUCCCCAUCACCCUAACCCUAUCCCUGGGGACUAUGGUCCACACCAACCUCUGAAGGAGAUGCUUGGUGUACACCAGGUUCUUCCUGCUGGUCUUGCUAGUAACAUUUCCCCUGUGUCUUCUCUUCUCCAUUUCCCAUUCCUGGACCCAUCCUCUGUGUCCUCCCAUGUUCAAUAACUCUCUCAAAUCCCAUCUUUCACAGGUCAGUUUCUCUUGUCCAGGCAUCUGGAGUGAACAGGGACCUAAUCUUUGUCUCUGCACACCCAGCUCAGGAUCCAGUACACAGCAGGCAUUCAAUACAUGCCAAACAGAUCAGGAAAUAAGUAAUGUAUGACCCUAAUGCUAAAGUGAGGAUGCUGGGCUCUGAGGGGUGAGGAUGAACGUAGCAGGGAGGUAAGAUGGGGAGAAAGGAAAACAGCCAAGAGGAGGAAAAGAAAGAGGGGGCAGGAAUCCACCCAUGUCCUUUUGCUGCUAAAAGGCCCCCUUUUCUCAGUCCCAAAAGCCCCCACCACCAUCACAGAAAAGGCAGGCAGUGGGACCACCCCUUUAAUGGUUCAUACACAACCCUCAGCUGAAAGUUCCAUGACUACUUUACCUUUAAAGAUGGCCUGGAUGUUCAUUCCAACCUAAUUUCACUCAGGUACACAACGUAAUUUUUCCUGGUCUGAUCCUCAGGAAUUGGCUGGCAUUUUCUCAACAACAAUGUCCUUUGAUAUAGAACCUUCUAGUACCAUGGUCUGAUUAAGAAGGAUUUAAUGUUCCCUGUGUUCCAGAGUGUCGGGCUCUAUUGCACAUUCAAGGACAGAAGCACUUUUUGUCCAUAGCACCUAAAGAGCCUCCAAGGCACUGUACAGUUGUGGUUCUCGAUAAUUCCUUGUCAAUUCCCAUAUACCCUGAGUGGUCCCACAUUAUGCAACAUGCCUAUAAGCUGCCUUGUAUACCACAAAUUGAAGUAAGCCCAUGACAAUAUUUUGAAAAUAGUCGACUGAUGAGAUUUCCAUUCCUCCUCCCGGUAAAACAUGUCCCUUGGCAACCAUUUCACUCUUCCAGUUGGGAGGGGGUUGGGGAAGAGGUGGGUAGGUAAAGGAAACUGCUCCAAACAACAGGAAGAGGAAUGAGAAUGCCUAUCCCCUCCACCCCAAAGGAAUUGGCAGGACACCAGGAAAAGCAAUAGGAAAGCAGGUGGUGAAAAAUGCAUGUGUUGACUACCAUUCUCCAGGCUGGAGUCCUGGAAGUGGAGAGGUAUGUGAAAUCAGUUAAAGGGGAAAAUCCAAGCGGAGAAAAGUCUUCCUUCUCACGAGGCACUCAGAAUCAGCAAAGACUCUAGCAGAGAUUCACUCCCCUCACCCCAUACCAGCCAGGGGUGCCCAUGGCAGAGUCAAAUUGGAGAACAGGCAGAGGUCUUAUGAGCCCAAGUUUAGCUUUCCACAUCUCCUUCAGCUCCUACAUCACAAGGAAAGUAUUUACUGGUUGCUGGGUAUCCUGUGGAAGGACCCAGAAGUACCAGAUGAGCUGGGGGUGGGUGGGAGCUGGGUGCACAGCAGGGGUUCAGUGAACCCAAGAGCCAUAGACUGCAGGGGAGACAUGGCGGACCAGGAAUCAUAACAAUCAGGCUCCAGGAAGACACCUGGGCUUGGAGGGGCUGAGUCGGCUGGGAGAUCGGCAUGACCAAGCUGAAAGAGAAGAGACCAUCAUCUCGGAACUGUCAACUUCAGCACCAGUGACAGCAGGGCACCUAGCAACCAGGCAGAUACAGGAUAAUGCCAUGGCCACAAGAGGGUCCCCAGUGCACGGACCACUAUCUCCUCCCCAAGAGCUGAGAUCCCUCCACCACCCAUCCGGGAGCUCUCUUGGAGAAGAGCAGAGGCACGGGAAGAAAUCUAAAGAAUAAAGUUUCACCCCGAAGAGAACUUUGCAUAAGAAGUGACUUAAAUUAUUGAAUCAGACCAAAUUUCAUUUUUCCAUGAUACUCAGCAGAGUGGAGGCUGCCAGGGAAGAGUAGACUUGACAUAAAAUAUUUAAAAAUACACUUUCUUUGCACAUGAGCGCAUAGUCUGUACAUGUGCAACCCAACUUCAUGACUUUUCAUACUUUAUAUGAAAAACAAUGAUCACAGUCAGGUGCGGUGGCUCACGCUGGUAAUCCCAGCACUUUGGGAGGCUGAGGCAGGUGGAUCACUUGAGGUCAGGAGUUCAAGACCAGCCUGACCAACAUGGUGAAACCCGUCUCUACUUUAAAAAAAAAAAAAUUAGCCAGGCAUGGUGGCGCACGCCUGUAAUCCCAGCUACUUGGGAGGCUGAGGCAGGAGAAUCACUUGAAUCUGGGAGGUGGAGGUUGCAGUGAGCCGAGAUUGCACCACUGCACUCCAGCCUGGGCAACAAGAGCGAAACUCCAUCUCAAAAAAAAAAAGAAAGACAGAAAGAAAAAGAGAAACAAUGAUUGCAAGCCACCUCAUCAUGGUACUGCUUGAUGCUUCCUGCCACCAGGGGAAAUGGUGGCUGAGAAAGGGUAGGUCUUAGGUGAGCUGCUGGUGCCUCCCCAGGAUCAUGGUGGGAAGGAAUUACCCCCCAGCCUUAAGUUCCUGGAGCUGCUGUUUCAAUCUGCUGACUUAGACAGGUAAACCACACAUGGCCAGGACCUAGAGGCUUGGUGGGCUUUUUUGCUAAGAGUACAGUCUCCAGCCUAUGCUCCAUAUCCCCAUACCUAUCCCCACAUCUGUCCCCUCUGACUCCACCACAGUUCUCCUCUUGGGAUGCAGUCAGAUGAUGGCCAUAAGUAUGUGUGCAUGUGCGUGUGUAUAUGCAGGACAGUGACAGCCAAGGCUCCAUGCUACUAGUAAUAGUUUAAAUUAAAACAACAACAACAGCAACAAAACUUGCCUCUAAUUUUAUUCCAGGGACCUAACACUUCCACACACGGAGGUUCCAGGGUAGGGGCUGCGCAACCACCAGCCAUAGUCAGGGUAGAUACCCGACUUUGUUUCUCUAAAAUGCAGAGGGAGCUGCCCCCUCCCCACCCACCGCCACCUCCCAUGCCCCAGCUCUUAUGACCCACGGAAGGCACCGCCUGUCCAAAUCAGAAUUACCUCUUUUCUAACACUUAUUUUUCUUUAAUUCUCUGUGAAUGGAACCCCCACUUUACGAUUUGUGAAUCCACUGUUCAACCUGGACAAGUUUUCAGUAACACAUUAUGUACAAAAUAAAGGACUGUCUGAUUUCUUUUUUCCUCAUUUUGUUAUUUGGAUUUCUUUCUUUGUUUUUGCAGAAUUUUCCAGAAUAGGUGUCAAUUUACUUUGUAAACAUUGUGCUUAAUUGUUUGCAAGACUGCAGAAUAACUGGCACGAAGUGAAGUUAUUUUAGACAAGAACAAACAAUUUGAAUAUGGCAGUUAGUGGGGAACGGAGAACAAAGACUGGAGUUUUAUUUAAAGAACAAGUCAAUCACGCCAAUAGAAAGACAAUGCCUAGGCUCCUUCCGUGUGCACAGCUGAAAAGCCCCAAGUUGCUCUGUUUUAAAACGUGUGAAGAUAUUCAGCACAAAAGGCCCGGUUUUGAACGUCGAUAAAAGAAAUUCAGGAAGAACUACUGUGGUUCACAAAGAAACAAAGCCUUUGCCACUGAGGAAACGGAUUGUGUCCUGUGAAACCCAGUAGUCAAAGAUGACAGGGUCUGGUCUUACAGCGGUGUAGAGAAUCAAGAAAUUGACAUGGAAGUCUUAUGCAAACCAACUUAACACAUAUUCCAUCAAAUAUGUUAAAUGCAUCAGACAAGGAAUAGGAAAUAUUGAAAACCCAAGACAACAGCUCUACAAAGAUUGCUCUCCUCGUAUCAUCUGCCUUCAAUCCCCGCUUCUCACAGCAAGAUACCCUGUAUUUUUUAAUCAGUGGGUUUACUUAGAAUGAGAUUCCAAGUCAGCAGUCAGCAAACAUUUUCUGUAAAGAGCCAGACAGGAAAAAUUUUAGGCUUUCUGGACCACUAGGUCUCCUUCGCAGCUACUCAACUCCACCUCUGUCGUAUGACAACAGCCACAGACAGUUUGUAAACAAAGGGGCGUGGCUGUGUUUCAAUAAAACUUUAUGGACAAUGAAAUCUGGAUUUUGUGUAGUCUUCAUGUGUAACAAAAUAUUCUUUCAAUUCUUUUUUCAACGAUUUAAAAAUGUAGAAAUCAUUCUUAGCUGCCAGGCCAUACAAAAUUAGGCAGCGGGCUGUGGAUUGCCAACCCUUCCUGUGUAACCCAGAAACCCUUCAGUGACCACCAUGAAAUAUUACCUGGUGCAGUUCUAAGCGACUAUACUUUCAAACAAGUGUUUCAGAAGGACAGAUGCCUGCAAAGAAUACAGAAACAGGAGUGGCAACCACAUGAAAUAACAAUAAGGAGGUUAGUUUGAAUGGAGAUUUCCUGAAGGAAGUGAGUUUGAAGUCAUUUUGAAAUAACUGAAGGAACUAAAUAUUGAAACAUGCACGCGACCAUAGGAAGUGCGUUCGUGGAGGACCUGGAACCAGGAAAAACAAAGAUUCAGAGGCGAUUUGAGAGUGUGAAGAUGAUUUGAAGAGCCAGACGUUUUUUCUCUCAGAUCUAACACAGGAGCAGAUUUUCAAAAACACAGGUUCUACAAACUGCCUGUCUUUGAUAUCCAGGAGGAGCUCAUCUGGAAUGCAAAGGAGCUAGUACAAGAAGCACCUUCCUUCCUGGGUGGUGAGACCAGCCCCGUGCACUUAGCGAGUGGAUUUUAAAUAUAAAGAGAUUUGUGUCCAGUUAUCUAGGUGGCCACUGGAAUGACAGUAAUUCACACCAAACCACAUAAGGAGGAAACAUCAUCCAUCUUCAUUUUUUAGAAAAAAAAAAAGCAGCUUUAGAAAACCAGAUAACUAGCCCUCAAUCAAUUCCGAGUCAGCAGAUCUAUUUACUCUCUUCUGAUGCUGUGUCACUCGAUUGAGUCUUGCUGGCUCCGUCAGGAUUUUUCCAACAUGCGUUGUCAUGGAUCAAAACCUUCCAGCAACUGUCCUUUGUCUCUCAAAAUAGUGUCUUUUCUCAAUCCAUGAAGUAAGGCAUGUCUCACUCAGGAUCUGCUCAACUGAUUUUGAAAAAGAUGCCAAAAUUCUUUUUUCUCUUUUUUUUUAGAGACAGAGUCUCACUCUGCCACCCAGGCUGGAGUGCAGUGGCACAAUCUUGGCUUACUGCAGCCUCAAAUUCCUGGGCUCAAGAGGAGUAGCUACUCAGCCUCCUGAGUAGCUGAACACAGGCAUGUGCCACUCUGCCCAGCUAAUGUAGAGACAGGGUCUUACCAUAUUGCCCAGGCUGUUCUCUAAAUUCUGGACUCAAGCAAUCUUCUCACAUAGGCCUCCCAAGUGCUGGGAUUGCAGGCAUGAGCCACUGUGCCUGGCCUGCAAAAGCUCUUUACUUUGAAAGCACAUUGAAAUUGUUCUGUACUUGGCAGCGGUGGUUACACAGCUGUAUAUUGCCAUCAACAUUCAUGGAUCUAUACACCAAAGAGUGAAUUUGACUGUAUGCAAGUGAUGUUUCCAUUUAAGUAAGAGUCAAAGGAAAAAAAAAUGAAAUACUGAAAUUUCUGUCUGGACACGGAAGGCUUAAAAAAUAGGAGCGUCUAUCCUCUCUGAGUAUCUGCCUAAGUUUUCGAGGGAAAACAUGAAUGAGCCAAUUAAAGAUCUCAUUUCUAGGUGACUGACAAAUCACAUUUGAGUUACUCAACUAGUUCUGGUUUGGGGAUUGGUGAGUUUCACUGUAUCAAGCUGUGACUCUGUUUAACCCAAGUAUUCCCUCGAGGCCAAUCUUGGCUGUCUCUCUUCAAGCUGAAAUUGAGAGGCUUUGCGAGUGGCCCUAUAAACACGCUAAUGAAUGAAUGGACAACUAAUUACCUUGUAAAUAUGCAUGAAUAAGCACAGGCCUCAGAUGCCUCUGCAGUAAGCCAAAUGUCUCGGCGCCCCCUUGCUACUUACUUGUGCAUGAGAAAACGUGUGAUAUUCCUACGGUGGAAGCUCAGGCCUCUCAUUCUCAGAGGCAAAUCUUUCAAUGUUGGUGGAAAAGGUCCUGGUAUAGGACACUUUAAAAGACACAUUAAUAAAAAUAACAGACAAAUGUAGCCAUGAAGAAUAACCCAUCAUCCACGUUCCUACACCCCCAUAAAAGAGUAAACUAACCUCUUGAUUAAAUUUUUCCAGCAAGGAGGCCCUUUUUUUAUUUUAAACUUGUUUUUAAAUAGUUUUUUUUUCUCCUUUGUUUAUAUAUUGUAGGUCACAGUGAUUCCCC